rnacentral:rRNA from 1 species
GACGAACGCUGGCGGCGUGCCUAAUACAUGCAAGUAGAACGCUGAAGAGAGGAGCUUACUCUUCUUGGAUGAGUUGCGAACGGGUGAGUAACGCGUAGGUAACCUGCCUUGUAGCGGGGGAUAACUAUUGGAAACGAUAGCUAAUACCGCAUAACAAUGGAUGACACAUGUCAUUUAUUUGAAGGGGGCAAUUGCUCCACUACAAGAUGGACCUGCGUUGUAUUAGCUAGUAGGUGAGGUAAUGGCUCACCUAGGCGACGAUACAUAGCCGACCUGAGAGGGUGAUCGGCCACACUGGGACUGAGACACGGCCCAGACUCCUACGGGAGGCAGCAGUAGGGAAUCUUCGGCAAUGGGGGCAACCCUGACCGAGCAACGCCGCGUGAGGGAAGAAGGUUUUCGGAUCGUAAAGCUCUGUUGUAAGUCAAGAACGGGUGUGAGAGUGGAAAGUUCACACUGUGACGGUAGCUUACCAGAAAGGGACGGCUAACUACGUG